CCUACGGGCGGCAGCAGUGGGGAAUAUUGGACAAUGGGCGAAAGCCUGAUCCAGCCAUGCCGCGUGUGUGAAGAAGGCCUUCGGGUUGUAAAGCACUUUCAGUGGGGAAGAAAGCCUUGGGGCUAAUACCCUCGAGGAAGGACAUCACCCACAGAAGAAGCACCGGCUAACUCCGUGCCAGCAGCCGCGGUAAUACGGAGGGUGCGAGCGUUAAUCGGAAUUACUGGGCGUAAAGCGCGCGUAGGCGGUCUGAUAAGCCGGUUGUGAAAGCCCCGGGCUCAACCUGGGAGCGGCAUCCGGAACUGUCAGGCUAGAGUGCAGGAGAGGAAGGUAGAAUUCCCGGUGUAGCGGUGAAAUGCGUAGAGAUCGGGAGGAAUACCAGUGGCGAAGGCGGCCUUCUGGACUGACACUGACGCUGAGGUGCGAAAGCGUGGGUAGCAAACAGGAUUAGAUACCCCUGUAGUC
rnacentral:rRNA from 1 species